UGUAUGUUUUGUAGGGACAAUCCAGGACGUGUAUUUCUCAGCACCCAGUCAACUGCCAGAAGUGACUCAAACACAGGCCACCAGAGACAAUGCCUACGAAAUUAUUGGCCCUGAUGACGAGAGCCCUCAAGGGGCAAACGACAUCUCUGUUUGUAGAAGUGAGCCUGAUACCACCUGAAGUUACCAUGACAGAUGACACGGCUGCAAUAGAUACAGAGACUGCCGUGUCUACUGCAGCUACAACAGAGUACGAGGCAAGCAGCAGCACGUCAGCAUCAGCAGUAGUGUCAGAAGGAACCAAACCAGGCCUGGUAGGGCAACA